AGUGAACGCUGGCGGUAGGCCUAACACAUGCAAGUCGAACGAGUGGCGGACGGGUUAGGAAUACAUAGGAAUCUACUCUGUGGUGGGGGAUAACGAAUGGAAACUUACGCUAAUACCGCAUACGAUUGGAUGAGCCGAUGUAGGAUUAGCUAGUGGGCGGGUUAAAGGCCCACCAAGUGUACGAUCCGUAGCUGGUCUGAGAGGAUGAUCAGGCACCAGUGAACUGCGACACGGGCCAGAAUCCUACGGGGAGCCGCAGUGGGGAAUUGUGGACAAUGGGCGAAAGCCUGAUCCAGCCAUGCCGAGUGUGUGAAGCAGGUCUUCGGAGUGUAAAGCUCUUUAAGUUGGGAAGCGGUACCAACAGAAUAAGCACCGGCUAACUUCGGGCCCACAGCCGCGGUAAUAC
rnacentral:rRNA from 1 species